rnacentral:rRNA from 1 species
GAUAAACGCUGGCGGCGUGCCUAAUACAUGCAAGUCGAGCGAACGGACGAGAAGCUUGCUUCUCUGAUGUUAGCGGCGGACGGGUGAGUAACACGUGGAUAACCUACCUAUAAGACUGGGAUAACUUCGGGAAACCGGAGCUAAUACCGGAUAAUAUUUUGAACCGCAUGGUUCAAAAGUGAAAGACGGUCUUGCUGUCACUUAUAGAUGGAUCCGCGCUGCAUUAGCUGGUUGGUAAGGUAACGGCUUACCAAGGCAACGAUGCAUAGCCGACCUGAGAGGGUGAUCGGCCACACUGGAACUGAGACACGGUCCAGACUCCUACGGGAGGCAGCAGUAGGGAAUCUUCCGCAAUGGGCGAAAGCCUGACGGAGCAACGCCGCGUGAGUGAUGAAGGUCUUCGGAUCGUAAAACUCUGUUAUUAGGGAAGAACAUAUGUGUAAGUAACUGUGCACAUCUUGACGGUACCUAAUCAGAAAGCCACGGCUAACUACGUGCCAGCAGCCGCGGUAAUACGUAGGUGGCAAGCGUUAUCCGGAAUUAUUGGGCGUAAAGCGCGCGUAGCGGUUUUUUAAGUCUGAUGUGAAAGCCCACGGCUCAACCGUGGAGGGUCAUUGGAAACUGGAAAACUUGAGUGCAGAAGAGGAAAGUGGAAUUCCAUGUGUAGCGGUGAAAUGCGCAGAGAUAUGGAGGAACACCAGUGGCGAAGGCGACUUUCUGGUCUGUAACUGACGCUGAUGUGCGAAAGCGUGGGGAUCAAACAGGAUUAGAUACCCUGGUAGUCCACGCCGUAAACGAUGAGUGCUAAGUGUUAGGGGGUUUCCGCCCCUUAGUGCUGCAGCUAACGCAUUAAGCACUCCGCCUGGGGAGUACGACCGCAAGGUUGAAACUCAAAGGAAUUGACGGGGACCCGCACAAGCGGUGGAGCAUGUGGUUUAAUUCGAAGCAACGCGAAGAACCUUACCAAAUCUUGACAUCCUUUGACAACUCUAGAGAUAGAGCCUUCCCCUUCGGGGGACAAAGUGACAGGUGGUGCAUGGUUGUCGUCAGCUCGUGUCGUGAGAUGUUGGGUUAAGUCCCGCAACGAGCGCAACCCUUAAGCUUAGUUGCCAUCAUUAAGUUGGGCACUCUAAGUUGACUGCCGGUGACAAACCGGAGGAAGGUGGGGAUGACGUCAAAUCAUCAUGCCCCUUAUGAUUUGGGCUACACACGUGCUACAAUGGACAAUACAAAGGGCAGCGAAACCGCGAGGUCAAGCAAAUCCCAUAAAGUUGUUCUCAGUUCGGAUUGUAGUCUGCAACUCGACUACAUGAAGCUGGAAUCGCUAGUAAUCGUAGAUCAGCAUGCUACGGUGAAUACGUUCCCGGGUCU